UACGUAGGGUGCAAGCGUUACUCGGAAUUACUGGGCGUAAAGCGUGCGCAGGCGGUUCCGCAAGUCAGAUGUGAAAUCCCCGGGCUCAACCUGGGAACUGCAUUUGAAACUACGGGGCUAGAGUGUGUCAGAGGGGGGUGGAAUUCCACGUGUAGCAGUGAAAUGCGUAGAGAUGUGGAGGAACACCAAUGGCGAAGGCAGCCCCCUGGGAUGACACUGACGCUCAUGCACGAAAGCGUGGGGAGCAAACAGG
rnacentral:rRNA from 1 species